rnacentral:lncRNA from 1 species
AUGGUAGAGAUAAACAGAAUAAACAACUUUGAAACAGCACAGACCAAUUAUGGCUUCUGCUUUGGCAGGGGGCUGACAGACAGAGACUUUCUACAAUCUCAGAAUCACCAAUACCCACAGAUUCCGACACACGAGGACAAAGAGGGGACCGUGCCCCGAGGACAAACCCAGGCACGUUCCCCAGCAGGAGGAUCCAGCGUGCAGGAGCCCCUUGCUGAAGCAGAGGGGGUUUGGGAACCUGGGCCGUGCUCAGCAUCAUCUCUCCAUGGUGCUUUUUCCAGUUUUUUUACCCACCCACAGCAUUCCAGUGGGCCAGAUGGGAUUUCGGGUGAUGCACUGGCGGGGAUGUCACCCAGGCUGCUUGUGCGUUUCUCCCCGUUCCCAGAGGUGGCCAGAAGGGUUUGUCACCCGCCCAGGACCAGCUGUGCCACCAGGGACGUGAAGCAGCCUGUUUGUUCCUGUCCCACCUUCACGGUUUCGGGUGUCACCGGCAGUGCUGAGUCAAACCCGGGGCACAGUGAAACCACCUGCCCUCGGAGCCACGAGGCAACAGAGAUGUCACCACAGCGCUGUCACACCUGCUGCAAUAGAGAUGUCACCACAGCGCUGUCACCCCUGCUGCCACAGAGAUGUCACCACAGCGCUGUCACCCCUGCUGCCACAGAGAUGUCACCACAUCGCUGUCACACCUGCAGUGGUGCAAAGCUCUCCUUCCACCCCCGGAGCUGCCCACACGGAAUUCCAGCUCUCCUUCCACCCCUGGAGAUGUCCACACGGAAUUCCAGCUCUCCUUCCACCCCUCAGAGCUGCCCACACGGAAUUCCAGCUCUCCUUCCACCCCUCAGAGCUGCCCACACGGAAUUCCAGCUCUCCUUCCACCCCUCAGAGCUGCCCACACGGAAUUCCAGCUCUCCUUCCACCCCUGGAGCUGCCCACACGGAAUUCCAGCUCUCCUUCCACCCCCCGGAGAUGCCCACACGGAAUUCCAGCUCUCCUUCCACCCCUGGAGCUGCCCACAUGGAAUUCCAGCUCUCCUUUCACCCCUGGAGAUGCCCACACGGAAUUCCAGCUGCUCGUGGCCAGGCCAUGCACGGACACACCCUGUGGAAGAGCUGA